GCUGAAGCUGGACCUCCACAGGAGGUUCCUGCAGGUCGCAGGUGAGACGACAGGUGAGGUGACCGUGUCUGGAACAGGAGCGUGUGCCAGAGGGAAUCUGUGACCGCACAGCUGGAUUCUUUGCUUUUGGUGACUGAUGUUAUGAAGUUAAAAGUUCCGUUUGGUGAACUAUCAAACACGUUCAGAUUCAGACUCUCGCCGGUCCGAAUUCAAAGCAUUGAAUUUAUAAAUUAGAGAAUAAAAAGCCCUUAAAAACA